rnacentral:rRNA from 1 species
UACGGAGGGUGCGAGCGUUAUCCAGAUUCACUGGGUUUAAAGGGUGCGUAGGUGGGAAUGUAAGUCAGUGGUGAAAUCUCUGAGCUUAACUCAGAAACUGCCAUUGAUACUAUGUUUCUUGAAUUUUCUGGAGGUCAGCGGAAUAUGUCAUGUAGCGGUGAAAUGCUUAGAUAUGACAUAGAACACCAAUUGCGAAGGCAGCUGGCUACAGGGAUAUUGACACUGAGGCACGAAAGCGUGGGGAUCAAACAGG